GAUGAACGCUGGCGGCGUGCCUAAUACAUGCAAGUCGAGCGAACAGACGAGGAGCUUGCUCCUCUGACGUUAGCGGCGGACGGGUGAGUAACACGUGGAUAACCUACCUAUAAGACUGGGAUAACUUCGGGAAACCGGAGCUAAUACCGGAUAAUAUAUUGAACCGCAUGGUUCAAUAGUGAAAGACGGUUUUGCUGUCACUUAUAGAUGGAUCCGCGCCGCAUUAGCUAGUUGGUAAGGUAACGGCUUACCAAGGCAACGAUGCGUAGCCGACCUGAGAGGGUGAUCAGCCACACUGGAACUGAGACACGGUCCAGACUCCUACGGGAGGCAGCAGUAGGGAAUCUUGCGCAAUGGGCGAAAGCCUGACGGAGCAACGCCGCGUGAGUGAAGAAGGUCUUCGGAUCGUAAAACUCUGUUAUUAGGGAAGAACAAAUGUGUAAGAAACUAUGCACGUCUUGACGGUACCUAAUCAGAAAGCCACGGCUAACUACGUG
rnacentral:rRNA from 1 species